rnacentral:rRNA from 1 species
CCUACGGGCGGCAGCAGUGAGGAAUAUUGGUCAAUGGACGAGAGUCUGAACCAGCCAAGUAGCGUGAAGGAUGACUGCCCUAUGGGUUGUAAACUUCUUUUAUAUGGGAAUAAAAUGUUCCACGUUUGGGAUUUUGUAUGUACCAUAUGAAUAAGGAUCGGCUAACUCCGUGCCAGCAGCCGCGGUAAUACGGAGGAUCCGAGCGUUAUCCGGAUUUUUUGGGUUUAAAGGGAGCGUAGGUGGAUUGUUAAGUCAGUUGUGAAAGUUUGCGGCUCAACCGGAAAAUUGCAGUUGAAACUGGCAGUCUUGAGUACAGUAGAGGUGGGCGGAAUUCGUGGUGUAGCGGUGAAAUGCUUAGAUAUCACGAAGAACUCCGAUUGCGAAGGCAGCUCACUGGACUACAACUGACACUGAGGCUCGAAAGUGUGGGUAUCAAACAGGAUUAGAUACCCGUGUAGUC